GACGAACGCUGGCGGCGUGCUUAACACAUGCAAGUCGAGCGGAAAGGCCCUUUCGGGGGCACUCGAGCGGCGAACGGGUGAGUAACACGUGAGUAAUCUGCCUCUGGCUUCGGGAUAGCCACCGGAAACGGUGAUUAAUACCGGAUACGACACAUCACUGCAUGGUGCGUGUGUGGAAAGUUUUUUCGGCCAGGGAUGUGCCCGCGGCCUAUCAGCUUGUUGGUGGGGUAAUGGCCUACCAAGGCUUCGACGGGUAGCCGGCCUGAGAGGGUGACCGGCCACGCUGGGACUGAGACACGGCCCAGACUCCUACGGGAGGCAGCGGUGGGGAAUAUUGGACAAUGGGCGGAAGCCUGAUCCAGCAACGCCGCGUGAGGGAUGACGGCCUUCGGGUUGUAAACCUCUUUCAGCACAGACGAAGCGCAAGUGACGGUAUGUGCAGAAGAAGGACCGGCCAACUACGUGCCAGCCGCCGCGGUAA
rnacentral:rRNA from 1 species